rnacentral:snRNA from 1 species
GUGCUCACUUCGGCAGCAUACAUAAUAAAAUUGGAACAAUACAGAGCAGGUUAACAUGGCCUCUGCAGAAAGAUGCACACAAAUUCGUGAUGCAUUCCAUAAUUUU